rnacentral:lncRNA from 1 species
GAAAGACGUCAGGUUUUGUUAGUGUACUAAAAAUAUGUUACAAUUAGUGUCAGAUAUUUAUUUUACUGUUUUAUGACAUGUUUGACAACCUUAAACCCAGGCUGUACAUUAAACUAAAGGAAAUUCAGACUGACUAGAUGACAAAUAAUAAUGUAGUGUACAGUUCGCCAUAACACAACAUGUUCAGCAUUAUCUUGAAAAUGAUGCAUACAAACCUCUAGACAAAGUUAAAUAAGGAUAAAUCUUUACACAAAAAUAUAUUUAAAAAAAGAAAAAAACAUGAAUAAAUGUGUCGCAGGAAUUUUAUCAUUGUUAAUCAAGGAUGAAACCAGAAGGAACUACAAUGCGUAAUUGAUAGCUUUCCAUUUUUUGGCACAUAAAUGCAGCAUACUACAGAACAUCAAUUUACAUGUGUUGUCAAUUAGCAUUAAAAAUUACAAUCUUGAUUUAAUAUUUUUGGACAAACUUUUCAAAUGAUUUAUCUACAAAAAUUUCUAGACUUUCAUGGUGACUUCUGUAAAAGAAUAAUUUGAAACGUUUUCAUAAAGCUUAUCGAAAAAUUGAGGCUUACCUGUAUGUAAGUAAUAUUUGGCAAUCCAAAGUAGGUAUGAACAGUAUAAAUUCUUCUAAAUAAAAAAUUGAAAGGUUCCACACAGAUUAUUAUACAAUUAUUCAGACUGAAACCUGAAAAGACAUAAUGUGUUUACUAAACAGUGAUUGUAGGUGCCCUUAAAUCGCUUAAAACCGAAAUUGUAUCUACCCCGCACAAAGGGUUCUCGCCUACUAGGAACAUUAAAUUAUCACAACGUAAGCCCAAAAGCAAAGACCCCUUGUUUACCAACAAUUUCCAGGCUGCUCUCGGGACUCUGGCAGCCUCACGAUUUGUUGCCUCAAUUAUCCCAUGAGGGCACGCGGAAGAGCAUGAAGAUGCCACAUGGGAUGUGUCACUCUCCAGUUUAGAUGAUACAUCAAGAAUUUUACAUCAGAUGAGCAUGGCUCGCUCUUACCUGGCUUGAGAGGUCGAGUGCAGUGCUACGGAGGAUAAAGUGGAUAAUCACACUGAGAAGUUAGAGUCCAGAGUGCAGGCAGUGGUGACGGCCCAUAACGAGGCAAUCAAUCACACCAACAACAUUAGCGCCAGAUUAGAGGAAGAAGAAAUGCUACUUGAAGACUUGGUAAACCGCUCAAGGAAUAAUAAUAUCUGCAUCUAUGGGAUGUAAGAAGAUGCACAAGAGGUUAGGCCCCACUGUGUUAGACAUAUUCCAGCCAGUCAUGUAGCAUGGAUUGCCAGUGCUCGGGCCAAGGCAAGGUAUUGUACCAUUAGCAAUCCCCAAGUCCCUUAACUGUCACUUAGAUAGUCUUGCUUCUCCUUCCUUAUCUGACUUGUCUCCGUGAAAGUAUAAUGUAUAAACUUAAUCUGUCGGCGAACGCCUACUAGGGAAAAGGCCACAGGGAAGUCUAUCGGACCUCUGGAAGAUUUUGGAUAAACACAGGGACACACAUGGGUUGAACAUGAGGCCCAGGGAACCAUCCAGUUUAUAUCUUGGAAUCACUAUUCCCAGGGGAUUAAUAUCUGCAGAGGGACAUAGGAAACUCUAUUGUGCAUGGGAACCAGUGGUGUUAUCUUGCCCGCUAGAUGGCAGUCUACCAUGUUUACAUGAUGUUUGUUAUACAUAUUACAUGUUGAGCCUGAGCUCAUAUCUGAUAUUUCCCUGCCACAAUGCAGGGUUAUGUGCCAUCUUAAAAUUAGUCACCUGUGGAAUGGCCAUUGUCACCCCACGCCCUUUUUUGUAGACUGAAUGGCUCAAAGCCCUCAACUGGCAAUGUUUUGGUGCCUCUGGGUUCUAGCCAUGCCCGGUAUCGCCUGGCGAUUUGUGAGUAAAGGUUGCUGUUUUCGUUUGUUUUAUUGGAAUUUGCUUUCUUCUCACUCAUGUUUUCUUUUACUUUCUUGAUCUCCCACUGAGGAAUUUAGGGUCUUGAAGGUUUACAGUCGAGGUUCCCAAAAUAGGAAACUCCCAUGGUAUUUAUAGAGGAUCUAUCUUUCGCUAUCCUUGUAAACGUUUCCCAUGACUAUUAAAGUGGUUUACCUACAUGUAAAGGGGCUGAAUUCUCCCAAAAACAGUGAUUACUGCUCAGAGAACCCAAGGAGAGACAGAUUCCACUUACAGAUCAUAUCUAUACGAGAGCGUACACAUCCAGCUCCCUUUGCAAGCACAGUCAGGUUGCAAUUUUAAUUCAUAAAAAAUGUAUGUUUGAGGUGCUCCAUGUAACAAAUGGCUCAUGGGGAUGGUUUAUUCUUCUUAUUGGGUGCCUGGGGUCAAACGUACUGCACUUGUUAAACAUCUAAGUCCCAACAAUAGUAAACAGGGCAUUUUAGGUGAAGGUUAGGGGAGGUUUUUCCAAUGGGGAAAGGGGGAGGGGGAUUGUAAUGCGACCCAGUGUCCAGCUGCUGACAGAAGUACUAAAUUAGCAGUGCCUAUAUCCCAGGGUGUGGGGGUACAAGGCAAAAUACUUAGAUGGUUCAUAGAUGAUUGGCGUGUGGAGGGCCUAAGCAUAGCUUUCAGCAAAUUUUUAGAGAUUACAUUGCUGAAUUUUGAACGUGACAUUUUCAAACUUAACUACUUUAAAAGGGUUUUAAAUAGGUCAGUCAUGUGGUUAGGGAGGCUUAGAGUUAAAAUUUAUGAGGAUAAGGGUUAGAGCAUUGUUAGCCCUGAAACUCCUGCUGUUGGUAAAAAAGCUGACCACUUAAAUCUCAAGUAACCCUCAAAAAAAUAAUCUUAUUAACAUCCAUGCAUGGUGCACUAAAAGAUGUGUUUAAUUGCCUGAAGAUUACACAAAUCAUGUAAUGUGUUU